GAGGGGAGUGAAAUAGAACCUGAAAGCGUCUACGUAUAAGCUGUAGGAUCCUACUAGUUAGGGGAAUGCGUACCAUUAGUAUAAUGGGUAAGCGACUUAUAUUAUGUAGCGAGGUUAACCGAUUAUGGUAGCCGUAGCGAAAGCGAGUCUUAACUGGGCGCUUAGUUGCAGGGUAUCGACCCGAAACCAGGUGAUCUAGCCAUGGGCACGUUGAAGUUUGAGUAACAUCAACUGGAGGACCGAA
rnacentral:rRNA from 1 species